rnacentral:rRNA from 1 species
AGUGAACGCUGGCGGUAGGCCUAACACAUGCAAGUCGAGCGGCAGCACAGUAAGAGCUUGCUCUUACGGGUGGCGAGUGGCGGACGGGUGAGGAAUACAUCGGAAUCUACUUUUUCGUGGGGGAUAACGUAGGGAAACUUACGCUAAUACCGCAUACGACCUACGGGUGAAAGCAGGGGAUCUUCGGACCUUGCGCGAUUGAAUGAGCCGAUGUCGGAUUAGCUAGUUGGCGGGGUAAAGGCCCACCAAGGCGACGAUCCGUAGCUGGUCUGAGAGGAUGAUCAGCCACACUGGAACUGAGACACGGUCCAGACGCCUACGGGAGGCAGCAGUGGGGAAUAUUGGACAAUGGGCGCAAGCCUGAUCCAGCCAUACCGCGUGGGUGAAGAAGGCCUUCGGGUUGUAAAGCCCUUUUGUUGGGAAAGAAAAGCAGCAGGUUAAUACCCCGCUGUUCUGACGGUACCCAAAGAAUAAGCACCGGCUAACUUCGUG